rnacentral:rRNA from 1 species
UUUAAAUUGUAAAUUUUUUCUUAAAUUAUUAAUAGUUAUGGUCUUUAAAUUUAAAGAUUUUGGCGGUAUUUUAGUCUUUUCAGAGGAACCUGUCCCAUAAUUGAUAGUCCACGAUAAAUUUUACUUAAUUUAAAAAUUUGUAUAUCGUUGUUAUAAAAUAUUUUAUAAGAAUUAAAUAUUUAAUAUUUAUAAUUUUAAUAUAUAUCAGAUCAAGGUGCAGUAAAUGGUUAAGAGGAGGUGGGUUACAUUAAAUUUAUUUUUAAUGGAAUUGUUCAUGAAAAUUUAUAAUGAAAUUGGAUUUGAAAGUAAUAAAAUUUAAAUUAAUUUUAUGAUUAUAGCUCUAAAAUGUGU